GUUUCAGCAAUUUUGUGAGUGCAACUGUUCGGGCCAAUGCUGUGAGCACAUUGGCAAAGUUUGGCGCCGUGGUUGAUUCAUUGAAGGAAUCCGGAAGGAGUAUUGGAUCCAAAGCUACCUGAGAAGCCUACUUCAAGGGCAUUGAAGCAGUCUCUUCUUGUGGCUUUACGUUGUGUAGACCCUAAUGCACAGAAGCGGCCAAAAAUGGGAUAAGUUAGACAUAUUCUUGAAGCUGAAGGCACCCCACCCCAUUCAAAGAAAUAUGUUGACGAUUUUACUAGUUCAUUGGGGUUCUCUACCAGGACCACGUAUGGCGUAUAUUGGGAGGAAGGUCCAC